CCUACGGGAGGCAGCAGUAGGGAAUCUUCCACAAUGGGCGAAAGCCUGAUGGAGCAACGCCGCGUGAGUGAAGAAGGAUUUCGGUUCGUAAAACUCUGUUGUAAGGGAAGAACAAGUACAGUAGUAACUGGCUGUACCUUGACGGUACCUUAUUAGAAAGCCACGGCUAACUACGUGCCAGCAGCCGCGGUAA
rnacentral:rRNA from 1 species